rnacentral:rRNA from 1 species
GAUGAACGCUGGCUGCGUGCCUAAUACAUGCAAGUCGAGCGAAUGGAUUAAGAGCUUGCUCUUAUGAAGUUAGCGGCGGACGGGUGAGUAACACGUGGGUAACCUGCCCAUAAGACUGGGAUAACUCCGGGAAACCGCGGCUAAUACCGGAUAACAUUUUGAACCGCAUGGUUCGAAAUUGAAAGGCGGCUUCGGCUGUCACUUAUGGAUGGACCCGCGUCGCAUUAGCUAGUUGGUGAGGUAACGGCUCACAAAGGCAACGAUGCGUAGCCGACCUAAGAGGGUGAUCGGCCACACUGGGACUGAGACACGGCCCAGACUCCUACGGGAGGCAGCAGUAGGGAAUCUUCCGCAAUGGACGAAAGUCUGACGGAGCAACGCCGCGUGAGUGAUGAAGGCUUUCGGGUCGUAAAACUCUGUUGUUAGGGAAGAACAAGUGCUAGUUGAAUAAGCUGGCACCUUGACGGUACCCAACCAGAAAGCCACGGCUAACUACGUGCCAGCCGCCGCCGUAA